rnacentral:rRNA from 1 species
GUCGAGAAUCUUUCACAAUGGGGGCAACCCUGAUGGAGCGACGCCGCGUGGAGGAUAAGGUCUUCGGAUUGUAAACUCCUGUCAUGCGUGAACAAGGUUGCUUGGUUAAUACCUGGGCAAAUUGAUGGUAACGCAAGAGGAAGAGACGGCUAACUCUGUGCCAGCAGCCGCGGUAAUACAGAGGUCUCAAGCGUUGUUCGGAAUCACUGGGCGUAAAGGGGGCGUAGGUGGCGUGGUAAGUCAGAUGUGAAAGCCCGGGGCUCAACCUCGGAACUGCAUCCGAUACUGCCAUGCUAGAGUACUGGAGAGGUGACUAGAAUUCUCGGUGUAGCAGUGAAAUGCGUAGAUAUCGAGAGGAAUACCAAAGGCGUAGGCAGGUCACUGGACAGUUACUGACACUGAGGCACGAAGGCCAGGGGAGCGAACGGGAUUAGAAACCCCAGUAGUCC